CCUACGGGUGGCAGCAGUGAGGAAUAUUGGUCAAUGGGCGCUAGCCUGAACCAGCCAAGUAGCGUGAAGGAUGACUGCCCUAUGGGUUGUAAACUUCUUUUAUAUGGGAAUAAAGUGCAGUAUGUAUACUGCUUUGCAUGUACCUUAUGAAUAAGGAUCGGCUAACUCCGUGCCAGCAGCCGCGGUAAUACGGAGGAUCCGAGCGUUAUCCGGAUUUAUUGGGUUUAAAGGGUGCGUAGGCGGUCGGAUAAGUUAGAGGUGAAAUCCCGAGGCUCAACUUCGGAAUUGCCUCUGAUACUGUUCGGCUAGAGAGUAGUUGCGGUAGGCGGAAUGUAUGGUGUAGCGGUGAAAUGCUUAGAGAUCAUACAGAACACCGAUUGCGAAGGCAGCUUACUAAACUGCCACUGACAUUGAUGCUCGAAAGUGUGGGUAUCAAACAGGAUUAGAUACCCUUGUAGUC
rnacentral:rRNA from 1 species